rnacentral:misc_RNA from 1 species
GGGAUUUCUCCGGCCAUUCGUUUUGUGUUGUCGGCAAAUGAGCAUUUUUACCCUCAAAUUCGUGGUCAACUCAAACCGUAAAACAGGCAAAGUUCUUUGCUUGCCUCAAUCGGUUUUAGCGCUGGCGCGUUGUCAGUUUGGCAGGCGCAAAA